GCUCAGAGCACGGACUGUAGGGGUGAUGCGAAGGGGCGAGAGCUCCUCGAUGUUCUCCAUCAUCACCACCACCACAGCACAAACAGUAAGUUGAGACGUGUUGUUGGGGUAAUUGAACGCAACCCCAGGAUGCACAACUGGCAAGAGAACGAAAUCCGAAGACUGCUAAGGAUCCGCAACUUGAUCGCGGGCACGGCGAGAACUCCGCGGUUUACCGGCGGAUAAACAGCUGCUGGCGGAGAGGGUCGUCCGCGGGUCACUGUACCACGAGCAGAAGACCCGCUGCGGGACCGAGCGCGUCGUCUAGCUGAUACGUAGACAGCGACGUGAUCUUCGAAAUGCCCAGGGGGGGGGAACCCGGUGAAGCGCCAUCCCCAGCACCUACACCCGCCACGCCCACCUCCGCACCGAAGUGCAGUCAGGGACGAAGUGGACGACAGAGGGCUCAACAAGCACCUGGGCCCAGCGGAGGUGGAUGACGACGAGGACCAGUACAGCCCACCAGAACACGUGCACACAAUCAGCCCCCACACGGUGAUGGAGGAAGUCUCCACAUCAGUGUUGGCGACGGAUGCCCAGAUCAGAGAGAUGGACGCCUGUUUGCAGAGGUUAAAGGAGCAUGAGAGGGAAAUGAAGAACAGUCUCAUGAGCCAGUUCAUAGCCAUGAAUGAAAGAAUAGGACGUGACACCUCAAACUUGUGAAAGACUACUGUCCAAGUUUCCUUUGCCUUUGGCUCCUUCAGGCUGCUGACUGACUCGUUCUUGUGUGAAUGGCACUUGUUCACCACUUGUCCAGUGCCUCAGCCCAAAUUAACCUCAACUCUGUUCAGUUGUAGCUACUACUGAUCCAGGUCAUGUUCACACUUUUGUUUUCUGUGAAUUGAUUUCAGUCGUUAGUUAACCAGUACAUAUUUUUAGAUGCAUACUGUAAUUCAAUUUUAUCGUACUAGCAAAGUAAACGUAGAAAAUGAA